rnacentral:sRNA from 1 species
GCCUGGCUCAGUGGCGCAUGCCUGUAAUCCCAGUGACUUGGGAGGCUGAGACAGGAGAAUCGCGAGUUCAAAGCCAGCCUCAGCAAUUUAGUGAGGCACUAAGCAAUUCAGUGAGACCCUGUUUCUA